GAACUGGUGGCGCUGUUUGUAUUGUGUUUGAGUCCUUGAGCGCAAGUGUUUUAUAAAAAAUAAAACAAAAAUCCACUAUCACAAAAAAAGAAAAAAAAUACAGCAAAGAGAACUGAAGACAAAAGGGAAAAAGAACCAUACAAUUUUUUUCCACCAUAUGCACCCUCUAAGCCAGCAAAAUUUUCCUCUUUGCAAAAUCAUAUUUUUGUGGGAAUGGGCCCUGCUUUUUGUGGCAAGGCCUGUUCUGAUUAAUAAAGGAUCGUG
rnacentral:lncRNA from 1 species